rnacentral:rRNA from 1 species
UAGCUAGUUGGUGAGGUAAAGGCUCACCAAGGCGACGAUCUGUAGCGGGUCUGAGAGGAUGAUCCGCCACACUGGAACUGAGACACGGUCCAGACUCCUACGGGAGGCAGCAGUGGGGAAUUUUGGACAAUGGGGGCAACCCUGAUCCAGCCAUGCCGCGUGAGUGAAGAAGGCCUUCGGGUUGUAAAGCUCUUUCGGCCGGGAAGAAAUCGCAUGGGCCAAUACCCUGUGCGGAUGACGGUACCGGCAUAAGAAGCACCGGCUAACUACGUGCCAGCAGCCGCGGUAAUACGUAGGGUGCGAGCGUUAAUCGGAAUUACUGGGCGUAAAGCGUGCGCAGGCGGUUUUGUAAGACAGGCGUGAAAUCCCCGGGCUCAACCUGGGAACUGCGUUUGUGACUGCAAGGCUAGAGUACGGCAGAGGGGGGUGGAAUUCCACGUGUAGCAGUGAAAUGCGUAGAGAUGUGGAGGAACACCAAUGGCGAAGGCAGCCCCCUGGGUCGAUACUGACGCUCAUGCACGAAAGCGUGGGUAGCAAACAGGAUUAGAUACCCUGGUAGUCCACGCCCUAAACGAUGUCAACUAGGUGUUGGGUGGGUAAAACCAUUUAGUACCGGAGCUAACGCGUGAAGUUGACCGCCUGGGGAGUACGGCCGCAAGGUUAAAACUCAAAGGAAUUGACGGGGACCCGCACAAGCGGUGGAUGAUGUGGAUUAAUUCGAUGCAACGCGAAAAACCUUACCUACCCUUGACAUGUCCAGAAGCCUGAAGAGAUUUGAGUGUGCCCGAAAGGGAACUGGAACACAGGUGCUGCAUGGCUGUCGUCAGCUCGUGUCGUGAGAUGUUGGGUUAAGUCCCGCAACGAGCGCAACCCUUGUCGUUAAUUGCCAUCAUUCAGUUGGGCACUUUAACGAGACUGCCGGUGACAAACCGGAGGAAGGUGGGGAUGACGUCAAGUCCUCAUGGCCCUUAUGGGUAGGGCUUCACACGUCAUACAAUGGUCGGUACAAAGGGUUGCCAAGCCGCGAGGUGGAGCCAAUCCCAGAAAGCCGAUCGUAGUCCGGAUCGUAGGCUGCAACUCGCCUGCGUGAAGUCGGAAUCGCUAGUAAUCGUGGAUCAGCAUGUCACGGUGAAUACGUUCCCGGGUCUUGUACACACCGCCCGUCACACCAUGGGAGCGGGUUCCGCCAGAAGUAGGUAGCCUAACCGCAAGGAGGGCGCUUACCACGGCGGGGUUCGUGACUGGGGUGAAGUCGUAACAAGGUAGCCGUAGGGGAACCUGCGGCUG